rnacentral:rRNA from 1 species
GACGGAAGGUGCAAGCGUUGCUCGGAAUCAUUGGGCGUAAAGGGUGCGUAGGCGGCUUGGUGGGUCUGGUGUGAAAGCCCCGGGCUUAGCCCGGGAAGGGCGCUAGAAACUGCCGAGCUCGAGUGCCGGAGGGGAGAGUGGAAUUCCUGGUGUAGCGGUGAAAUGCGUAGAGAUCAGGAGGAAUACCGGUGGCGAAAGCGACUCUCUGGACGGCAACUGACGCUGAGGCACGAAAGCGUGGGGGAGCAAACAGG